rnacentral:rRNA from 1 species
UGGGGAAUUUUGCACAAUGGGGGAAACCCUGAUGCAGCGACGCCGCGUGAUUUAGAAGGCCUUCGGGUUGUAAAAAUCUUUUGUAUGGGAAGAAAAUGACAGUACCAUACGAAUAAGGACCGGCUAAUUACGUGCCAGCAGCCGCGGUAAUACGUAAGGUCCGAGCGUUGUCCGGAAUCAUUGGGCGUAAAGGGUACGUAGGCGGAUAAGCAAGUUAGAAGUGAAAUCCUAUAGCUCAACUAUAGUAAGCUUUUAAAACUGCUCAUCUUGAGGUAUGGAAGGGAAAGUGGAAUUCCUAGUGUAGCGGUGAAAUGCGCAGAUAUUAGGAGGAAUACCGGUGGCGAAGGCGACUUUCUGGCCAUAUACUGACGCUGAGGUACGAAAGCGUGUGUAGCAAACAGG